rnacentral:lncRNA from 1 species
ACCUGUGAUAACGUGUGGCAUGUGUCCAAAUCUUGUGAACUGGCUACCCAGUAUAUACAGUUUCUGUGAGCAGUUGAAGCAAUCCCUGUAAGGUUGACAUAAUGAAGAGGCUGCUGCAGUAGAGUUAGUAUUUACGAAUAUACAAUUUGAGGAAUUCCACUAUGAAAUAAGUUGGAAUGACAUAUUGAACAACUGAAAAGAAGAUUUAAAUAUAUUACAUGAAAUAGUUCUACUGGUUAAUGAUGUUGAAGAGCGUUUGAGAAUUUGCAUUCUGAUGGAAAGGCAAAAAUAAAAGUACGCACAAAUGACAAUUGAAAGAGUUUAGUGAGAAGUGAUGCGUGAAAAAGGGUAAGUAAAUUCUGACUGCAUUUGAAAGUUAGUAAUUACAAGUGAAGUAAAAAAUCAGAGAGUAGGUCCUACGUGUAUGAACUUGUAUAGAUCAUGUGAGUAAACCUAUAAGGUACCUGUGAGCAUGUCUGCAAUGUCCGUCAAUGUUGUCGAUUGGGUAGCUUCUAUAUAUGGUUUGGGUCGACAGGUGAAUCAAUCUGUGAAAGGUCACGAUAAUGAACAGGCUGCUGCAGACUGUGCACGGUGUUUUGUAUCACUGCUAUUUGUAUGUUUGAGUUGGAGUAAAUUUCCUGUGAAAUAAAGUGAGUAUUUAGGAAUAUUAAAUUUGAGCAAAGCGAAAGUGAAAUAACCUAUAGCAACAUAUGGAACAGAUGAAAUGACUCAUUAAUUAUAUUACAAGGAAAAUUUUAUUUGCCUUUGCCACU